CCUACGGGAGGCAGCAGUGAGGAAUAUUGGUCAAUGGCCGGAAGGCUGAACCAGCCAAGCCGCGUGAAGGACGAAGGUGCCAAGCAUUGUAAACUUCUUAUGUCAAGGGACAAAAUCAGGCUCGAGAGCCUGACCGAGGGUACUUGAAGAAAAAGCAUCGGCUAACUCCGUGCCAGCAGCCGCGGUAAUACGGAGGAUGCGAGCGUUAUCCGGAUUUAUUGGGUUUAAGGGGUGCGUAGGCGGACUGUUAAGUCAGCGGGAAAAGCCCGGGGCUCAACCCCGGCAAGCCGUGGAAACUGGCUGUCUUGAGAUGUCGAGAGGUAUGCGGAAUGCGCAGUGUAGCGGUGAAAUGCUUAGAUAUUGCGAAGAACUCCGAUUGCGAAGGCAGCAUACCGGCGGCGAUCUGACGCUGAGGCACGAAAGCGUGGGUAUCGAACAGGAUUAGAUACCCUGGUAGUC
rnacentral:rRNA from 1 species